rnacentral:rRNA from 1 species
AUUGAACGCUAGCGGGAUGCUUUACACAUGCAAGUCGAACGAGUGGCGGACGGGUGAGUAAUCUAUCGGAACGUGCCCAGUAGCGGGGGAUAACUACUCGAAAGAGUGGCUAAUACCGCAUACUCUUGGAGCGGCCGAUAUCGGAUUAGCUAGUUGGUGGGGUAAAGGCUCACCAAGGCAACGAUCCGUAGCUGGUUUGAGAGGAAGACCAGCCACACGGGGACUGAGACACGGACCAGACGACUACGGGAGGCAGCAGUGGGGAAUUGUGGACAAUGGGGGAAACCCUGAUCCAGGCAUCCCGCGUGGAGGAGAAGGCCUUCGGGUUGUAAAGUACUGUUGGCAGAGAAGCGGUAUCGGCAGAAUAAGCACCGGCUAACUACGUGCCAGCAGCCGCGGUAAUAC